rnacentral:rRNA from 1 species
UACAGAGGGUGCGAGCGUUUAAUCGGAAUUACUGGGCGUAAAGCGUGCGUAGACGGUUUCGUAAGUCGGGUGUGAAAGCCCCGGGCUCAACCUGGGAAUUGCAUUCGAGACUGCGUAGCUAGGGUGCGGAAGAGGGAAGCGGAAUUUCCGGUGUAGCGGUGAAAUGCGUAGAUAUCGGAAGGAACAUCAGUGGCGAAAGCGGCUUCCUGGUCCAGCACCGACGUUCAGGCACGAAAGCGUGGGGAGCAAACAGGG